UAAAGGAUAAGGAAUAAGAAAAGAAAAGAAUAGAGGUUACAGAACCAAAAAUUAUCAUCGCCAUCUUCCUUUUCUUCUCUUGCGCGCGAUGGACGACGGCAUCGAUAACUCCGCGAUCCGACCUCCGUUUUCGAUGAUUCAAAUUGAUAUGGAUAGCUAACUCAAUAAGGAUUAAGAUACGACGGAAUAUCGAGAUACAAGCUUGGCGAAUCAAGGGAGCUUGACAAGAAUCGACGUUAUCUUAUUUAUGUUGGAUUGGAUAGCGGUCACUGUGAGUUUGCGGUUUACUUUUGUGUAUUGUUUAUUUGAACUAUCUGCUUUAUCUUUAUUAUAUUAUAAGUUUUGCCUAUCGCGUUAUCCUUAUGGUUAUAUAUUUAUUAAUUUGAUUGGGAUGCUUUGAUGUGAUGAACUUUGUUCUAACGAUCCGAAGAAACGUGCUACCUAUUGGGCGUCAAUAGGACUGCGUGAUCACCAGUACUGAGGUUAGACAAUCUUGUGUCCUAGAGUUUCGUAUGAACUAUUAAAUCAUAUGGCGACGGUGGCUUAGUUCCCGGCCAAAACUUAAAGGGAAGCUGUGGCGACGGUGGCAUUGUUCCCGGCCCAGAGACCCAACGCAGAUCUGUGGCGACGGUGGCUUUGUUGCCGGUCCAGAUGCUGCUAUAAUUUCGCAGAUUUGUGGCGACGGUGGCUUUGUUCCCGGUCCAGAUACUGCUAUAAUUAAACUCAUUAGGUUCUGUAGUUGGUAUUUUAAGAAUCUUUGGAUUAGGGUUUCAGUCGGAUCGUAUAAUUGUAUGAUGUUUGAUGUUUGAGCUAUAAAUUGAUCAUUUAAGUAUUUACUAGUAUGUUAGAUGUUUAUAUGAUUUUAAUUAUAAUACCAUCUGUAAAA